GGCCAGGUGGCGUAGUAGUAUCGCACUCCGGAGACGGUAUCUUGGGUUGGGUGUGUCUUGGAGAGACGCGGGUUCAAUUCCUGUCUUAGCUA